GUGAGAGAGGGCGGCGGGCCGACAGGGACCCCGGGCAGCCACGACGCCCCGGGUCAGCAUCCGUCGGUAGCAAAUGAAAGAGUUGUGGGGGGAAAAGUCAUCAUCCGUCACAUCUGGUUGACAUUAAGGCAGAGCCGUGCCUGAUGGCUCCCGCUGUUGGAGUGUCUGAGGCUUUGAUGGCGGCUCUGUGUCGUGUGGCGUUGGCGUCCGCGCUGUGCCAGGCGGCGUGUGUGGUCAACGGGCGACUGGGAAGCUGUAGGGGAGAGACGAGAGGGCUGCGGGUCAAGGCAGAAGCCCCCUUUCGGUUCAACCUCUUUGAUGGUCUCUGCACGUCCUGUGCAUGGUCCCUCUGAGGGAGGAGUUGAGGAUGAGGCUUUUCUGCAAGUCACAAAGUGUCUCAGAGCCGUUGCGGUGAAGCUGCCCAGGAGCCAGACUGAUUCAGCGCUCCAUCGCCGCACACGAGGCAUCAAUCAUCGUCGUCACUGCCUGACAGAAGGGAGGAAUUCGCGCACAGGAAGUCAGCUGUGUUGCCGGCGGAUGCGGCGCACACUGCGACCGCACGCGCACCCGCCAUGUGUACCAGCAUCGGUAGCCGAGAGCACACGGCGAACUCCCCGAUCCCGCGUCCCGUCCUCAACAUCGCAGCACCAUGCAAGCUUGACUGACAGGCCGUCUGUUUGUUUUCCUCCUCAAGACGAAGUCCAUUUCCUGUGCUCCCUUUGUUUUAGACCCUAGAUUAAAAAAAAAAAAAAAAAAAAAAGAGAUCUCCCUUUUAAAUGCCGUGUUUACAUUGUGUGAGCGCUUUGAGGGAAAGCACAAAGCCGCCACACAGUGGGUGGAUUAUAAACUUGGACUGAGUUUCAAACAGACUGAAUUUAUAAACACAGAAUUCCCCCACACUCAACUCGCGGGUCCCAGCCUGCUAGCAUAUUACUGUGGAUCAAACACAGACGAAGCCUAUCCUCGCACUUUGAUGCAUUUAUGUGUGCGUGUGUGUGUGUGUCUGUGCAUGCAUUGUGUUUGCACUUACUUGUAUGCCUUUUUCUCACACGUCUAAGUAGCAUGAUUGGUCAAUUUCGAUGUUGUGCUUUUAAAUCCAUCACAUCACCUCGAUGUGUGUGUGCGCCGGCAUCCUCGGCAGCACCUUGACGGGGUGAUCUCCGGUUGCCGUGUUGUACUGAGGCACGCGAGGGGAGACGACCUGGGAUCUCCGUGUCCUAUCGAAAGACUACAAGUGCCUGAAUACCCAUUAUGUGCCAGCUGUUCAGAAUGAGGAGUAAUUGCACUGUUGGCAUGGGUCCACGUGGGCCCCAGCGCUGCGGCUUCCCUCCACCCCUGGGCACGCUGCCAAGCCCUCCCGCGUACUGCCUCCCUGACCCAUCCGCCACCACCUAACGGCACCCCACCCCAUAUCCAGGCCCACCCCCUACGCCUCAGCGCCCGACCCACAUCAUCCCCCAAAAACUCUUCCACCCAUUACCACCAGCCCUCUGUUCCACAUUCCUAGGGGGGCACUGGUUAAAUCUAAUCCCAUAAUAAGACACUCAGCUGUCCAGGAAAAGAAAGAGAACUUUCCUCUGGUAAACUCUAGACUUCCUUUUUUCUUUCUCCCCUCCCUUCUUUUCACCCCAAGUGGAGGCAAGAUGACACUUUGGGCCCCCUUGGCCAGUUGCCUUUGUCUUUCUUCGGGCUUGAUUUAUCCUUUCUUCCCUUCUCUCGCUCCCUCAUUCCCUCUGUUUUUUUUUUUGUUGUUUUUUUCUGUCAGUGGUAUAAGAUUGCCUCUGUGUUGGGCCCACGGUCCCUGAACAGACACAUGGGAGGGCCACGUUUGCUAAAGGGCCACAUGGCUCUGUUGUGCAACACACACACACACACACACACACACGUUCAUUUCUAGGCUCCCAACACAGAUGUAAGCAAUUUAUACGUUACAUUGCCAAGUCUUUUAACAUACUUGUGUCUGCAAUUCACUUGGCAAAUGACAUAGUUGGGACAUCAUUAUCUCGAGUUAAAAGGUGAAAUGUAGAUUUCAUAGGAAUUUGUAACUUUUACCCGCAUUAACAGCCUGUGUCACAUCCAUACUUGGUGGAAAAAUGGUGCCUCUUCGCUACAUGUUAGAUUGUACAGAUGGGGAUUAGGGCCAAUGUAAAAAAUCAAUAAUUAAGCAUUCACCAUUUUUGUAUUCCUUUAUUUGUCUGCAACCUGUGCAACUUUGGAAAUGACACAGAGAGUUGAUCAAUGAAGAAUCGACAAGGAUAGACGGACCCUCCACUUACACCUGAAUGGACAGACUUCCAUCAUGCACUAUUAAUGUUCACGGCUACAACUAAAUGUAAUUUGAAUUGUUGAUUAAUCUGUUGAUAAUUUUCUUGAUUAAUUAAAUGUUGGAAUAUGGUGAAAAAACAAUA